GAACCAGGAACAGCAGAAAGGGUUUGCU
rnacentral:piRNA from 1 species